rnacentral:rRNA from 1 species
GACGAACCGUGCGAACGUUGUUCGGAAUCACUGGGCUUAAAGGGCGCGUAGGCGGGUGUGCAAGUCUGCGGUGAAAGCCUCCAGCUUAACUGGAGAAGUGCCGUGGAUACUGCUCAUCUUGAGGAGGGUAGGGGCAUCUGGAACGGUCGGUGGAGCGGUGAAAUGCGUUGAUAUCGACCGGAACUCCGGUGGCGAAGGCGAGGUGCUGGACCCUUCUGACGCUGAGGCGCGAAAGCCAGGGGAGCAAAGCGGG